GGAGGGGUGCCAGAGUGGCCGAUUGGGGCGGUCUCGAAAACCGUUGUGGGCUUUUGGUCCACCGUGGGUUCGAAUCCCACCCCCUCCG
rnacentral:tRNA from 2 species